rnacentral:rRNA from 1 species
CCCUACGGGGGGCAGCAGUGGGGGAUAUUGCACAAUGGGGGGAACCCUGAUGCAGCGACGCCGCGUGGGUGAAGAAGUAUUUCGGUAUGUAAAGCCCUAUCGGCAGGGAAGAAUUUAGACGGUACCUGACUAAGAAGCCCCGGCUAACUACGUGCCAGCAGCCGCGGGAAUACGGAGGGGGGCAGCGUUAUCCGGGUUCACUGGGGGUAAAGGGAGCGUAGACGGCCAUGCAAGCCUGGAGUGAAAACCCGGGG